AUGGCGACCCAAAAAAAGGCCUUUUUCCACCACCUGGUAUUUUUAAUCCACCUUGCCUCGACUGCGUGCGAACAAUUGGCUCAUCACAAUACAUGCAAUUGGAAGUGGCGGACGUGAAAAAUCUCAUCUAGCGACACAACCCCCAAGAGAUUGGAAAAUCAACUAAGUGCUGAAAUUGGCAAAGUUGCAUCAUCAUUAACCUUAUCAGAAGAGGAUCUGUUCCGAAUCUGAAGAUCAAGCAAUAAAGACAAACAGUUCAAACAGCAUUUCCUUCCGUGCGGCCCAAAUCGUGGUACCAUCAUUCACCUCGGCCAAGAAGAAUCGGUGAAAACAAUUAUGGGGUGCCGCUCUUCGGACAAAACAUCCCCAAUGCAGGCGUCGGAUGCACCGACAACUCCUCCCCCAGGACCAGCAGCUGUUCCGGUAAUGCCGAACGCCCCGGGUGACGCUUCCAGAGGGCCGACGUCAGCCAUGCAGACUCCUACAGGUACAGCUGCCACAACCCCGCUUGUGUCAGCAUUGCAGCAGGCGGCUCAAAAAGAUGCUGCUAUAGAGCAACAGGCCUCAAGCGAGUCAUCACAAGAACAGACUCCUCAACGAUCUGCUCAGAGUGCACCAGGAAUGCAGCAGGCGGCUCGAGCAGAUGAUGCUCCGGUACUUUUUUUCUUUGACUUAAUAUCAGUAUUGCUUCUCUAUUAUUUAGCAAAGCAGAGCCUCUUGUACGGCGGUUCGCUGAAGAUCAAUUUCUCGAAUGGAAUAUGUACCCGACAUCACCAUGACCAUGGAUGAGCAGAUUGUGAAACAUCGUCUGGAGAAUAGAUGGCAGCAUAAAUGGCUUUUAUUAUUUAACUAAUAAAGACUGGCUAAAUCCUCUGUCGCUAGCGUCCCUAGGCUGGCAUCGGAUGGAUCGAGCUUUUGGUAUACAAAGUUGAUGAAUUGGCUGCCAUCAGCACGACACCGUAUGCGCUACAGAGGAAAGGUGAAAACAUACUUUCCAUGAAAACAAAGAAAGUUGUCUCCGGCUGGUCCUAGUUUCUACAAGAUGACUGCGAGAACCAGGUUAUGCCAGGUGUAAUGCAAUGUGGUGAAAUUGGCCAACAUUGCCCGAUAAAAUCUGGCUGCAUUCUUCUUCAUCGACCACCCCGCAACGUCGGCAAUACUACUUUGGAACUGUAACGUUAGUACCAGCUACCAAACAUACCCUGUAAUUCAACAAGAAGAGCUUACGCAGGAUUUGCUAUCCAAGCUAAUCGAAGUCUCAUCUAAGCUGGAGUCCCAGCCGAAACCAAGAAGACUGUUACUACUAUUUAUGUGAUAUUCGCUAUAAGACCGAACACGACUACUCAAAAUACUGAAAAUAUAUAAAAAAACCCAUCAUAUUAGUGUGUGAAUUUGUGUUGACUACUCAUUUAUUUUCAUGAAAGGAAGAUCAAAAUCAAAUCUAGUUUUGUUUUCCGUCAAUUUGCACCCAGGCAACCUCAAUACUUUCGUAAAAAGCUUUUGCCUUCUAUCAUACAUUAUUUUACAGUGUUUUUUCUGUCCUCUUUCUCUCUAUGCAAGAAUACAAAAAUAGAAGAAAAUUACUAAAGCAUUCAGUUA